AUCUCCACAAUUCCUUCUCAGUAUUCCUCGGUCAAAGCGCAGGGUUGGACAGUGAUUCCUUAUCUCCGUAUAAAGCUCUACAUACAUUCUAAUUUAAAUCAUGCAUGGACGAGUCAAGGUGCGCACAACUGCAGAACAGGCUGAAGCAAAGAGGAAAGAAAGGGAGAAGAAACUUAAGAUUUACAGUGAAACCACCAAUCGCAUACAUGAAAAGAGAAAAAAUGGAGACAUGGACAAAGAAUCACUUUCUUUGUCGGAGCAAGUACUCAGUGCGAACCCAGAUUAUUUAACACUGUGGAACUUCAGACGUGAAAUUUUUCUCCACAUGAAAGA